rnacentral:ncRNA from 2 species
UGUAGUUGCAGGUAGGAAUACGCUGUACACCCGUGCAACCGAAUUAACGUUUAAGCGGUGUUAUCCACCGUCGGUCACGGGGCCACCGAUUUUCGGUGGUUUUUUUUUGG